rnacentral:rRNA from 1 species
UACGGGGGGAGCAAGCGUUGUUCGGAUUUACUGGGCGUAAGGGGCGCGUAGGCGGCGCCGCAAGUCGACUGUGAAAUCUCCGGGCUUAACCCGGAAAGGUCAGCCGAUACUGCGGGGCUAGAGUGCAGAAGGGGCAACUGGAAUUCUCGGUGUAGCGGUGAAAUGCGUAGAUAUCGAGAGGAACACCUGCGGCGAAGGCGGGUUGCUGGGCUGACACUGACGCUGAUGCGCGAAAGCUAGGGGAGCGAACGGG